GCGGUGCCGGGGGCGGCGGGCACGGGGGCGCUGGGACCCCGGCAAGGCCCGGGGACCAGAGAACGCCCGUCCCAGAGCCCGCACCCAGGGAACUUCCCGCCUCCGGGCCGGAGUUUCUCCGUGGCCCACUGCCAUGAGGCGGAGUGGAGGACAAGCGGGGUACCCCCCACUCCCACCGUUAUCCGGGGGAGCCAGAGGAGCCAACAGGUCCGGACUCGCCGCCGAGGAGGGCUCCAGGCGGGGCCUCCCGCGCACAGGAGCUGCCUGUCUACCCCUCUCCAGAACCUUCGGGUCGCAGCCUUGAGCUGGGACUUCCCACUGGCUGUGCCUCCUUUGGAGGUGCCAUCUGAGGCCGUGAAGCUACAUGGGAGGGACGUCCAGGCCCGACUGGCUGUGCAAGACUGGGAGUGGGAGCCUCAGCAACCUGGAGGGGGGAGCAGCGCCCGUGUGCAGAGGGAGGCCCCUGAGGAACCGGCCCACUGAGCUGCAAAAGGAAGAGGACCUCUUCUCAUGCACCAUCUCAUAGUUUUAUGCUGAAGCGUGGACAUCAUGGUGACCUUGACAGGAAUGGUCUUCGGGACCAAAGUGACUGCGGGAGAUUCAGGAGAGAGUGGGACAGAGCCUCAGAGCUCAGAGGUGGCCACAGGCGGUUCUCCACUCCCGUGAAGUCUCUGAAAACAGCGGUCCCGUCCUCCUGAGGCAGCUGCCUGUCCCCUGGAGUCACCACCAGGUACCGAGUCCCCGGGCCAGGGGCUGACCAUCUAGAGAG